rnacentral:piRNA from 1 species
GAAAACCCUGGGAAUCUUUAAGUC